rnacentral:rRNA from 1 species
CGGCAGGCUUAACACAUGCAAGUCGAGGGGUAACAGGGAUUGCUUGCAAUCCGCUGACGACCGGCGAACGGGUGCGUAACGCGUAUGCAACCUACCUUUUACAGGGGAAUAGCCCAAAGAAAUUUGGAAUAAUACCCCAUACGAUCUACAAUUGGCAUCAAUUGAAGAGGAAAACUCCGGUGGUAAAAGAUGGGCAUGCGUCCUAUUAGUUAGUUGGUAAGGUAAAGGCUUACCAAGACUUCGAUAGGUAGGGGUCCUGAGAGGGAGAUCCCCCACACUGGUACUGAGACACGGACCAGACUCCUACGGGAGGCAGCAGUGAGGAAUAUUGGACAAUGGAGGCAACUCUGAUCCAGCCAUGCCGCGUGCAGGAAGACUGCCCUAUGGGUUGUAAACUGCUUUUAUACGGGAAGAAUUGCAUCUACGUGUAGAUGCUUGACGGUACUGUACGAAUAAGGAUCGGCUAA